rnacentral:rRNA from 1 species
UACGGAGGGGGCGAGCGUUAUUCGGAAUUAUUGGGCGUAAAGGGCGCGUAGGCGGCCUGAUAAGUCAAAGGUGAAAUCCCUCGGCUCAACUGAGGAAUUGCCUUUGAAACUGUCAGGCUUGAGGCCGGGAGGGGGUGGCGGAAUUCCCAGUGUAGCGGUGAAAUGCGUAGAUAUUGGGAGGAACACCAGUGGCGAAGGCGGCUCACUGGACCGGUUCUGACGCUGAGGCGCGAAAGCGUGGGGAGCAAACGGG